rnacentral:misc_RNA from 1 species
GUCUUCUUUGAUGGUGCCAUGAGAUCUAUCCUCCACAAUAGAGGAUGCCAGAAAUCUCCUCCUUAGUCCCGGAGGUGAACUGGGGGUGCUUAAAUCUCCUUCAGCUACAGAAGAAAAUUCUCUAAUAGAAGUACUUGUAGAGGGCUCACAAGACUCUUCCACAUCAGGCAAAGGAACAGCUAAUUUUGAAGCAAUGGCCUCUAUCUUCUCU